GGUCUGCUUCUUUGAACUGUUCAAGGAGGAACGCAAAGAUCAUUUCACUUCAGAGCUACACAAGGAGGCGGUGGAAUUUAAGAAACAGUGUCUGUGGGAGGGAAGACAUUCCUCCACGCUGCAGGAGGCAAUAGA